UACAGAGGGUGCGAGCGUUAAUCGGAUUUACUGGGCGUAAAGCGUGCGUAGGCGGUUGGAUAAGUCGGAUGUGAAAGCCCUGGGCUCAACCUGGGAAUGCCAUUCGAUACUGUCCGACUCGAGUUCGGUAGAGGGCGGUGGAACUCCAGGUGUAGCGGUGAAAUGCGUAGAUAUCUGGAAGAACACCAAUGGCGAAGGCAACCGCCUGGGCCUGAACUGACGCUGAGGCACGAAAGCGUGGGGAGCAAACAGG
rnacentral:rRNA from 1 species